GGUUUCGUGGUGUAGUUGGUUAUCACGUCAGUCUAACACACUGAAGGUCUCCCGUUCGAAGCCAAGUGAUUUUU
rnacentral:tRNA from 1 species